rnacentral:rRNA from 1 species
GUAGGUGGCAAGCGUUGUCCGGAAUUAUUGGGCGUAAAGCGCGCGCAGGCGGUUCUUUAAGUCUGAUGUGAAAGCCCACGGGCUCAACCGUGGAGGGUCAUUGGAAACUGGAGAACUUGAGUACAGAGGAGGAAAGCGGAAUUCCACGUGUAGCGGUGAAAUGCGUAGAGAUGUGGAGGAACACCAGUGGCGAAGGCGGCUUUCUGGUCUGUAGCUGGCGCUGAGGCGCGAAAGCGUGGGGAGCAAACAGGAUUAGAUACCCUGGUAGUCCACGCCGUAAACGAUGAGUGCUAAGUGUUAGGGGGUUUCCGCCCCUUAGUGCUGCAGCUAACGCAUUAAGCACUCCGCCUGGGGAGUACGGCCGCAAGGCUG